UACGUAGGGUCCAAGCGUUAUCCGGAAUCACUGGGCGUAAAGCGUGCGUAGGCGGCGUGUUAAGUGUGAUGUUAAAUCGUGUGGCUCAACCAUAUCGAUGCAUCACAUACUGGCAUGCUAGAGGAAGGCAGAGGCAAGUGGAAUUUGUAGUGUAGCAGUGAAGUGCGUAGAUAUUACAAGGAACACCAAUGGCGAAGGCAGCUUGCUGGGCCUUUUCUGACGCUGAGGUACGAAAGCGUGGGGAGCGAACAGG
rnacentral:rRNA from 1 species